rnacentral:misc_RNA from 1 species
GUGAAUCAUCAAAUUUUUGAACGCAAAUUGCACUCCCUGGUAUUCCGGGGAGUAUGCCUGUUUGAGGGUUGUUAGAAUAAAAAAUUGAGGCGUCGUUCUUUUUUUGAGUGUGAUGUCGUCGGUAUUGAGACGUCUUUCAAAUGUUAAUGCAUGUCAAAGUGGCUUUAAAUACAUUCAUCUGGUAUGAUUAAAACGUAUUUAAGAUCAUU